rnacentral:rRNA from 1 species
AAUCCAUAGGUUAAUGAGGCGAACCGGGGGAACUGAAACAUCUAAGUACCCCGAGGAAAAGAAAUCAACCGAGAUUCCCCCAGUAGCGGCGAGCGAACGGGGAGGAGCCCAGAGCCUGAAUCAGCAUGUGUGUUAGUGGAAGCGUCUGGAAAGGCGCGCGAUACAGGGUGACAGCCCCGUACACAAAAGCGCAUGUGCUGUGAGCUCGAUGAGUAGGGCGGGACACGUGGUAUCCUGUCUGAAUAUGGGGGGACCAUCCUCCAAGGCUAAAUACUCCUGACUGACCGAUAGUGAACCAGUACCGUGAGGGAAAGGCGAAAAGAACCCCGGCGAGGGGAGUGAAAAAGAACCUGAAACCGUGUACGUACAAGCAGUGGGAGCACAGGUUUACCUGUGUGACUGCGUACCUUUUGUAUAAUGGGUCAGCGACUUAUAUUCUGUAGCAAGGUUAACCGAAUAGGGGAGCCGGAGGGAAACCGAGUCUUAAUUGGGCGUUAAGUUGCAGGGUAUAGACCCGAAACCCGGUGAUCUAGCCAUGGGCAGGUUGAAGGUUGGGUAACACUAACUGGAGGACCGAACCGACUAAUGUUGAAAAAUUAGCGGAUGACCUGUGGCUGGGGGUGAAAGGCCAAUCAAACCGGGAGAUAGCUGGUUCUCCCCGAAAGCUAUUUAGGUAGCGCCUCGUGAAUUCAUCUCCGGGGGUAGAGCACUGUUUCGGCUAGGGGGCCAUCCCGGCUUACCAACCCGAUGCAAACUGCGAAUACCGGAGAAUGUUAUCACGGGAGACACACGGCGGGUGCUAACGUCCGUCGUGAAGAGGGAAACAACCCAGACCGCCAGCUAAGGUCCCAAAGUCAUGGUUAAGUGGGAAACGAUGUGGGAAGGCCCAGACAGCCAGGAUGUUGGCUUAGAAGCAGCCAUCAUUUAAAGAAAGCGUAAUAGCUCACUGGUCGAGUCGGCCUGCGCGGAAGAUGUAACGGGGCUAAACCAUGCACCGAAGCUGCGGCAGCGAACGUAUCACUUAAAGCGAUUCAGCGGGUUACGAUUGACGGAGC